CGCACGGGUGAGUAACACGUGGGUACCUACCCUAGAGUGGGGAAUAACACCGGGAAACCGGUGCUAAUACCGCAUACGAUCAUGAUGCCUUUGGGUAUUGUGAUGAAAGGAGCAAUUCGCUCUUGGAGGGGCCCGCGGCUGAUUAGCUAGUUGGUAAGGUAAUGGCUUACCAAGGCUACGAUCAGUAUCCGGUCUGAGAGGACGGUCGGACACACUGGAACUGAGACACGGUCCAGAAAACUUUUCCCUACGGGAGGGCAAGCAGUGGGGGAAUUUUCUGGCAAUUGGGCGGGAAACCCUGACCAAGCAACGCCGCGUGGGGUGAUGAAGUCUCUUGGGACGUAAAACCCCUUUCGACGGGGAAGAAAGGCCGCAAGGGCUUGGAACCGGUACCCGUAGAAGAAGCCCCGGCUAACUCCGUGCCAGCAGCCGCCGGUAAAUACG
rnacentral:rRNA from 1 species